GUAGGCUGCAACCCGCCUACACGAAGCCGGAAUCGCUAGUAAUGGCGCAUCAGCUACGGCGCCGUGAAUACGUUCCCGGGUCUUGUACACACCGCCCGUCACAUCAUGGAAGCCGGUCGCACCCGAAGUAUCUGAAGGCCAACCGCAAGGAGGCAGGGUCCUAAGGUGAGACUGGUAACUGGGAUGAAGUCGUAACAAGGUAUC
rnacentral:rRNA from 1 species